rnacentral:sRNA from 1 species
UUGGAGGGCAAGUCUGGUGCCCGCAGCCGCGGUAAUUCCAGCUCCAAUAGCGUAUAUUAAAGUUGUUGCAGUUAAAAAGCUCGUAGUUGAAUUUCGGGAUCAAUAUACCGGUCGUGCCUCAGGUAUGAACUGGUCUUAUUGGUUUCUCCCUUCUGACGAACCAUGAUGUCAUUAAUUUGAUGUCGUGGAGAAUCAGGACUGUUACUUUGAAAAAAUUAGAGUGUUUAAAGCAGGCUAACGCUUGAAUACAUUAGCAUGGAAUAAUGAAAUAGGACGUUCGACCCUAUUUUGUUGGUUUCUAGGAUCGACGUAAUGAUUAAUAGGGAUAGUUGGG